rnacentral:rRNA from 1 species
GUCGAGGAUCUUCGGCAAUGGGCGCAAGCCUGACCGAGCGACGCCGCGUGUGCGAAGAAGGCCUUCGGGUUGUAAAGCACUGUCGAGGGGGAGGAAAGCCCGCAAGGGUUUGACCUAUCCCUGGAGGAAGCACGGGCUAAGUUCGUGCCAGCAGCCGCGGUAAGACGAACCGUGCGAACGUUGUUCGGAUUCACUGGGCUUAAAGGGCGCGUAGGCGGGCCGUCAAGUCUGUGGUGAAAGCCCCCGGCUUAACCGGGGAAGUGCCGCGGAUACUGACGGUCUCGAGGGGUGCAGGGGCAUGUGGAACUUCCGGUGGAGCGGUGAAAUGCGUAGAUAUCGGAAGGAACGCCGGUGGCGAAAGCGACGUGCUGGACACCUACUGACGCUGAGGCGCGAAAGCCAGGGGAGCAAACGGGAUUAGAAACCCUAGUAGUCC